UAAGGAAUAUUGGUCAAUGGACGCAAGUCUGAACCAGCCAUGCCGCGUGAAGGAUGACGGCCCUCUGGGUUGUAAACUUCUUUUAUCUGGGACGAAAAACGGACUUUCUAGUUCACUUGACGGUACCAGAGGAAUAAGCACCGGCUAACUCCGUGCCAGCAGCCGCGGUAAUACGGAGGGUGCAAGCGUUAUCCGGAUUUACUGGGUUUAAAGGGUGCGUAGGUGGACAAGUAAGUCAGUGGUGAAAUCUCCGGGCUUAACCCGGAAACUGCCAUUGAUACUAUUUGUCUUGAAGACUUUGGAGGUAAGCGGAAUAUGUCAUGUAGCGGUGAAAUGCUUAGAUAUGACAUAGAACACCAAUUGCGAAGGCAGCUUACUACACAGUGAUUGACACUGAGGCACGAAAGCGUGGGGAUCAAACA
rnacentral:rRNA from 1 species